rnacentral:rRNA from 1 species
GAUGAACGCUGGCGGCGUGCCUAAUACAUGCAAGUCGAGCGAACGGACGAGAAGCUUGUUUCUCUGUUGUUAGCGGCGGACGGGUGAGUAACACGUGGAUAACCUCCCUAUAAGACUGGGAUAACUUCUGGAAACCGGAGCUAAUACCGGAUGAUAUUUUGAACCGCAUGGUUCAAAAGUGAAAGACGGUCUUGCUUUCACUUAUCGAUGGAUCCGCGCUGCAUUAGCUAGUUGGUAAGGUAACGGCUUACCAAGGCAACGAUGCAUAGCCGACCUGAGAGGGGGAUCGGCCACACGGGAACUGAAACAGGGUCAAGACUCCUACGGGAGGCAGCAGAAGGGAAUCUGCCGCAAUGGGCGAAAGCCUGACGGAGCAAGGCCGCGUGAGUGAUGAAGGUCUUCGGAUCGUAAAACUCUGUUAUUAGGGAAAAACAUAUGUGGAAGGAACUGUGCACAGAGUGACGGUAACUAAUCAGAAAGCCACGGCUAACUACGUG